AACGAACGCCGGCGGCAUGCCUAACACAUGCAAGUCGAACGAGACCUUCGGGUCUAGUUUCGCACGGGUGCGUAACGCGUGGGAACCUGCCCUUAGGUUCGGAAUAACUCCCCGAAAGGGGUGCUAAUACCGGAUAAUGUCUUCGGACCAAAGAUUUAUCGCCUUUGGAUGGGCCCGCGUUGGAUUAGCUAGUUGGUAGGGUAAAAGCCUACCAAGGCGACGAUCCAUAGCUGGUCUGAGAGGAUGAUCAGCCACACUGGGACUGAGACACGGCCCAGACUCCUACGGGAGGCAGCAGUGGGGAAUAUUGGACCAUGGGCGAAAGCCUGAUCCAGCAAUGCCGCGUGAGCGAUGAAGGCCUUGGGGUUGUAAAGCUCUUUUACCCGGGAUGAUAAUGACAGUACCGGGAGAAUAAGCUCCGGCUAACUCCGUG
rnacentral:rRNA from 1 species